rnacentral:rRNA from 1 species
UACGAAGGGUGCAAGCGUUACUCGGAAUUACUGGGCGUAAAGCGUGCGUAGGUGGUUUGUUAAGUCUGAUGUGAAAGCCCUGGGCUCAACCUGGGAAUUGCAUUGGAUACUGCCGGACUAGAGUUCGGAAGAGGCGAGUGGAAUUCCCGGUGUAGCGGUGAAAUGCGCAGAUAUCGGGAGGAACACCUAUGGCGAAGGCAGCUCGCUGGGACGUUACUGACGCUGAGACGCGAAAGCGUGGGGAGCAAACAGG